UCCCUUGUGGCUCAGCUGGUAGAGAAUCUGCCUGCAAUGCUGGAGACCUGGGUUCGAUCCCUGGCUUGGGAA
rnacentral:tRNA from 1 species